UCCAGUUUCAAUAAAUUAGCUAGACAUAGUUGCUGGUAACAACAUAAUAAUUAAAUAAAUAAACAUAACAUAAAUAAAGCAACGAUAGGUACUGAAAUAUGUAAAACUUGAACAAACAGUGACUGAAUUAAAAAAACAGUGAACAAAUUGUAACAAAAUAAAUAAAACAAAAUAAAUAGAACAAGAGAUUAGAACCUUAAUAAACUGGAAUUGAAAACAAUGGCACCGGAACAAGCUUGAAUGCUAAACUGCUAAACUGAAUGAAAAACAGGAAAGUAAAAUAUUUUCUAUCUGCUCUUAAAUUCUAAUAAUGAAAACGUUGAAAAAAUAAUGAGAGAUAGAUCCUCUAUUUAUAGGCUAAAAGGAGAUAUUUUUCUCCCUGC
rnacentral:lncRNA from 1 species